rnacentral:rRNA from 1 species
AACGAACGCUGGCGGCGUGGCUAAGACAUGCAAGUCGAACGGACUGCUCAAUUUAUUGGACAGUUAGUGGCGAAAGGGUUAGUAACGGGUGGGUAACGUACCCUGUGCUUUGGGAUAGCGUCAUCCCGACUUCGGUCGGGAUUUCCGAAAGGGGCGGUAAUACCAAAUAAUAUCAUUUGUCGAUAGGCGGAUGAUCAAAGAUUUAUCGGCACAGGAGCGGCCUGCCUCCUAUCAGCUUGUUGGUGAGGUAACGGCUCACCAAGGCAGCGACGGGUAGCGGGACUGAGAGGUUGGCCCGCAACAUCGGGACUGAGACACUGCCCGGACCUCCACGGAGGGCUGCAGUAACGAAUCUUGUGCAAUGGGCGAAAGCCUGACACAGCGACGCCGCGUGUAGGAGGAAGUCCUUCGGGAUGUAAACUACUGUCAGGGGGAAGAAAGUGCGCUUCGGCGCAUUGAUCUAACCCAGAGGAAGUCACGGCUAACUUCGUGCCAGCAGCCGCGGUAAGACGAAGGUGGCAAGCGUUGUUCGGUAUUACUGGGCUUAAAGCGUGUGUAGGCGGAAAGGUAAGCGUUGCGUGAAAUCCCCCGGCUUAACCGGGGAACUGCGCAACGAACUGCUUNNNNNNGAGGCAAGUAGGGGCGCAUGGAACUCUUGGUGGAGCGGUGGAAUGCGUAGAUAUCAAGAGGAACGCCAGUGGAGAAGUCGGUGCGCUGGGCUUGUUCUGACGCUGAGACACGAAAGCGUGGGUAGCGAACGGGAUUAGAUACCCCGGUAGUCCACGCCGUAAACGAUGCCUACUAGGUCGGAGGUUCUCUGACGGAGUUCCGGCCGAAACUAAAGCGAUAAGUAGGCCGCCUGGGGAGUACGGUCGCAAGGCUAAAACUCAAAGGAAUUGACGGGGGCUCACACAAGCGGUGGAGCAUGUUGCUUAAUUCGAUGCAACGCGAAGAGCCUUAUCCUGGGCUUGACAUGCUUGGAUGCUCAUCUGGAAACAGAGUAGGCUGCCCUUCGGGGUGAAACUUGCACAGGUGCUGCAUGGCUGUCGUCAGCUCGUGUCGUGAGAUGUUGGGUUAAGUCCCGUAACGAGCGAAACCCUUGUCGUUAGUUGCCAGCGCGUCAUGGCGGGGACUCUAGCGAGACUGCCGGUGUGAAACCGGAGGAAGGUGGGGAUGACGUCAAGUCCUCAUGGCCUUUAUGCCCAGGGCUGCAAACGUGCUACAAUGGCCGGUACAAACCGACGCGAGACCGCGAGGUGGAGCAAAUCGGAAAAAACCGGCCCCAGUUCGGAUUGGAGUCUGCAACUCGACUCCAUGAAGUUGGAAUCGCUAGUAAUCGUAGAUCAGCCACGCUACGGUGAAUGUGUUCCUGAGCCUUGUACACACCGCCCGUCAAGUCAUGGAAGCUGGGAGCGCCCGAAGUCGG